CUUGGUGAUGAUAGAGGUGGGGAAAUACCUGUUCCCAUUCCGAACACAGAAGUCAAGACCGCCUUCGCCGAUGGUACUAUACGCAAGAGUAUGGGAGAGUAGGGCGUUGCCAAGU
rnacentral:rRNA from 1 species